rnacentral:rRNA from 1 species
UCAAGUGACUAAGUGCAUGCGGCGGAUGCCUUGGCGAUCACAGGCGAAGAAAGACGCGGCAGCCUGCGAAAAGCUGCGGGGAGCUGGCAAACGAGCUUUGAUCCGCAGAUAUCUGAAUGGGGGAACCCACACCGCAAGGUGUAUCCGUAACUGAAUACAUAGGUUACGGAGGCGAACGAGGAGAACUGAAACAUCUAAGUAUCCUCAGGAAAAGAAAUCAACCGAGAUUCCGGCAGUAGCGGCGAGCGAACCCGGAGGAGCCUAGCUUUUGAUAGUACGAACUUUAGCCGAAAGGUCCUGGAAAGGCCUGCUAUAGUGGGUGAUAGCCCCGUAGGCGAAAGAGUUGGUACGGUACUAAGGAAGCGAGAAGUAGAGCGGGACACGUGGAAUCCUGUUCGAAGACGGGGGGACCAUCCUCCAAGGCUAAAUACUCGUGAUCGACCGAUAGUGAACCAGUACCGUGAGGGAAAGGCGAAAAGAACCCCGGGAGGGGAGUGAAAUAGAACCUGAAACCGCAUGCAUACAAACAGUAGGAGCCUCAUCAGAGGUGACUGCGUACCUUUUGCAUAAUGGGUCAGCGACUUACAUUCUGUGGCGAGCUUAACCGAAUAGGGGAGGCGCAGCGAAAGCGAGUUCGAAAUGAGCGUCCAGUCGCAGGGUGUAGACCCGAAACCAGAUGAGCUAUCCAUGGCCAGGUUGAAGGUGUGGUAACACACACUGGAGGACCGAACCGACUAGUGUUGCAAAAUUAGCGGAUGAGCUGUGGAUAGGGGUGAAAGGCCAAACAAAUCUGGAGAUAGCUGGUUCUCCCCGAAAACUAUUGAGGUAGUGCCUCGUGUGUCGCUCCAGGGGGUAGAGCACUGUUUUGGCUAGGGGGACAUGGAGUCUUACCAAACCAAGGCAAACUCCGAAUACCUGGAAGCGUAAGCACGGGAGACAGAGCACCGGGUGCUAACGUCCGGACUCAAAAGGGAAACAACCCAGACCGCCGGCUAAGGUCCCAAAUAACAGCUAAGUGGAAAACGAAGUGGAAAGGCCGUGACAACCAGGAAGUUGGCUUAGAAGCAGCCAUCCUUCAAAGAAAGCGUAAUAGCUCACUGGUCGAGUCCUUCUGCGCGGAAGAUGUAACGGGGCUAAGCUGUUAACCGAAGCCGCGGAUGCACUGGUUAUCCAGUGCGUGGUAGGGGAGCGUUCUGUAAGUCUGCGAAGGCGGUUCGAGAGGACUGCUGGAGAUAUCAGAAGUGCGAAUGCUGACAUGAGUAACGUUAAAGCAGGUGAAAAGCCUGCUCGCCGUAAGCCCAAGGAUUCCUGCUCUACGUUCAUCGGAGCAGGGUGAGUCGGCUCCUAAGGUCAGGCCGAAAGGCGUAGCCGAUGGGAAUCAGGUUAAUAUUCCUGAACCUGCGUCAGAUGCGAUGGGGGGACGGAGCAUGGAAGAUCAUCCGGGUGUUGGAAGUCCCGGUUGUUGAGCGUAGGGGGUCUGCAGGCAAAUCCGCAGACGCAUCUCCAAGGCAAAGACACGUGCCGCCACGGCGGCGAAGUGAUCGGAAGUGCUUCCAAGAAAAGCCUCUAAGCCCCAGUCUGACGCGGACCGUACCGCAAACCGACACUGGUGGGCGAGCUGAAUAUGCUCAGGCGCUUGAGAGAACUCGGGAGAAGGAACUCGGCAAAUUGACACCGUAACUUCGGAAGAAGGUGUGCCGUAGUACCGUGAGAGGAGAGACACCUUGAGCGGGAAACGGUCUCAGAGAAUAGGUGGCUGCGACUGUUUAUUAAAAACACAGCACUCUGCAAAGUCGAAAGACGACGUAUAGGGUGUGAUGCCUGCCCGGUGCUGGAAGAUUAAUUGAUGGGGUGCAAGCUCCUGAUCGAAGUCCCAGUAAACGGCGGCCGUAACUAUAACGGUCCUAAGGUAGCGAAAUUCCUUGUC